rnacentral:siRNA from 1 species
GUGCCGGUUGGUGGUUACAUA